AACGAACGCUGGCGGCAGGCCUAACACAUGCAAGUCGAGCGCUCUCUUCGGAGGGAGCGGCGGACGGGUGAGUAACGCGUGGGAAUGUGCCUCUGGGUGCGGAACAACCUCUGGAAACGGUGGCUAAUACCGCAUGAUGUCUACGGACCAAAGAUUUAUCGCCCAGGGAUCAGCCCGCGUCGGAUUAGGUAGUUGGUGGGGUAACGGCCCACCAAGCCGACGAUCCGUAGCUGGUUUGAGAGGAUGAUCAGCCACACUGGGACUGAGACACGGCCCAGACUCCUACGGGAGGCAGCAGUGGGGAAUAUUGGACAAUGGGGGCAACCCUGAUCCAGCCAUGCCGCGUGCGUGAAGAAGGCCUUAGGGUUGUAAAGCGCUUUCACCGGUGACGAUGAUGACGGUAGCCGGAGAAGAAGCCCCGGCUAACUCCGUG
rnacentral:rRNA from 1 species